GAUCUUCUCCUUCAUGGGAGAUGAUUGAAAGAUGGUUUCGGCUAUCACUUACAGAUGGGCCCGCGGUGCAUUAGCUAGUUGGUGAGGUAACGGCUCACCAAGGCAACGAUGCAUAGCCGACCUGAGAGGGUGAUCGGCCACACUGGGACUGAGACACGGCCCAGACUCCUACGGGAGGCAGCAGUAGGGAAUCUUCCGCAAUGGACGAAAGUCUGACGGAGCAACGCCGCGUGAGUGAUGAAGGCUUUCGGGUCGUAAAACUCUGUUGUUAGGGAAGAACAAGUACAAGAGUAACUGCUUGUACCUUGACGGUACCUAACCAGAAAGCCACGGCUAACUACGUGCCAGCAGCCGCGGUAAUACGUAGGUGGCAAGCGUUAUCCGGAAUUAUUGGGCGUAAAGCGCGCGCAGGCGGUUUCUUAAGUCUGAUGUGAAAGCCCACGGCUCAAACCGUGGAAGGGGUCAUUGGGAAACUGGGGAACUUGAGUGCAGAAGAGAAAAGCGGAAUUUCCACGUGUAGCGGUGAAAUGCGUAGAGAUGUGGAGGAACACCAGUGGCGAAGGCGGCUUUUUGGUCUGUAACUGACGCU
rnacentral:rRNA from 2 species